GUCCCUGUAGCGUAAUAGAUACCGCGUUGGACUUCUAAUCCAAAGGUCGUGGGUUCGAAUCCUACCUGGGAUG
rnacentral:tRNA from 1 species